rnacentral:rRNA from 1 species
CGGGACGGGUGAGUAAUGUCUGGGAAACUGCCUGAUGGAGGGGGAUAACUACUGGAAACGGUAGCUAAUACCGCAUAACGUCGCAAGACCAAAGAGGGGGACCUUCGGGCCUCUUGCCAUCGGAUGUGUCCAGAUGGGAUUAGCUAGUAGGUGGGGUAACGGCUCACCUAGGCGACGAUCCCUAGCUGGUCUGAGAGGAUGACCAGCCACACUGGAACUGAGACACGGUCCAG